ensembl:lncRNA
CUCGGCCCCUCCCUGCCUUCUUUCCUGGUUCUGCAUGAAGCUCAUUCCCUUUCUCCCUUCAGUUAUGGCCCAGCCAGGGGCCCCUCACCAAGAUACUAUUGCCAUGUCAUUGGAUCCUCCAGCCAUAAGAAUCAUGAGCCAAGGAAAUCUCUUUAUAAGUUAUCAGCUGAACAUAGAACAAAUGUAAAGCAUCAGCCUAAGUGAAGAAGAUGAGCUUGGAAAAUACUGUCACCAUGUCCAAUAUCGGCACAUGUUUCCUUCCUCUCACUUGGGCUCAACUGUGCUAAUUAAUGAGUUGAGUGAAUAGCAGCCAUUAGUCACUGGUAGACUCUUCUCUGAAACUCUGUUUGACUUUUUUGAAUUGUCACUUGAGACAGGGUGAAAGGGAGCCACACCAAAUCUUCUGGAAUUCCAAAUGGACAGAGAGAGAUCAUACCAGGCACCAUCAUCACCCAUCAAACUGAAUAUGUUAGAUUUGCAAACCCCAGGAUGGGGCUGGAAGGAAUGUGGAGAGGAGAGUAGGUAGCAGAGCUGAGAGAGCCCAUGGACUACAAACCCAGCUUGGUUCAUCACAACUGGAAA